CACAAAGAUAUGGGAACAUUAUACCUGUUGUUCGGUGCCUGAGCUGGGGUCCUAGGCACAGCUUUAAGCCUCCUUAUGCGGGCUGAACUAGGUCAACCCGGCAACCUUCUAGGUAAUGAUCAUAUCUAUAAUGUUAUCGUCACGGCCCACGCAUUCGUCAUAAUAUUUUUCAUAGUAAUACCCAUCAUAAUUGGAGGCUUUGGCAAUUGACUGGUCCCCCUAAUAAUUGGUGCCCCCGACAUAGCAUUUCCCCUCAUAAAUAAUAUC
rnacentral:lncRNA from 1 species